rnacentral:rRNA from 1 species
CCUACGGGAGGCAGCAGUAAGGAAUAUUGGUCAAUGGAGGCAACUCUGAACCAGCCAUGCCGCGUGCAGGAAGACGGCCCUAUGGGUUGUAAACUGCUUUUGAACUAGAGAAAACCUUGGUACGUGUACCGAGUUGAUAGUAUAGUUAGAAUAAGCAUCGGCUAACUUCGUGCCAGCAGCCGCGGUAAGACGAAGGAUGCAAGCGUUAUCCGGAUUCAUUGGGUUUAAAGGGUGCGUAGGCGGACUGAUAAGUCAGUGGUGAAAUCUCUCAGCUUAACUGAGAAACUGCCAUUGAUACUGUUAGUCUAGAGUACAGAUGAUGUGGGCGGAAUAUGACAUGUAGUGGUGAAAUACUUAGAUAUGUCAUAGAACACCGAUUGCGAAGGCAGCUCACAAAACUGUAACUGACGCUGAGGCACGAAAGUGCGGGGAUCAAACAGGAUUAGAUACCCUGGUAGUCCGCACCGUAAACGAUGAUUACUCGUUGUUGGCGAUAUGACAGUCAGCGACGACGACGAAGACGAGUAAGUAAGUACCGUACCCGUACGGGUAGGUACGGACCGGCCGACCGGUACGGAACCGUACGAAACGUAGUUAAGUUAGUUACGGACGGUUGGAGGACGUUACGCCGACGGACGACGACGAGGGAGGUAGGG